rnacentral:rRNA from 1 species
AGCGAACGCUGGCGGCAGGCUUAACACAUGCAAGUCGAGCGGGCAUCUUCGGAUGUCAGCGGCAGACGGGUGAGUAACACGUGGGAACGUACCCUUCGGUUCGGAACAACUCUGGGAAACUGGAGCUAAUACCGGAUACGCCCUUAUGGGGAAAGGUUUACUGCCGAAGGAUCGGCCCGCGUCUGAUUAGCUAGUUGGUUGGGUAACGGCCUACCAAGGCGACGAUCAGUAGCUGGUCUGAGAGGAUGAUCAGCCACACUGGGACUGAGACACGGCCCAGACUCCUACGGGAGGCAGCAGUGGGGAAUAUUGGACAAUGGGCGCAAGCCUGAUCCAGCCAUGCCGCGUGAGUGAUGAAGGCCUUAGGGUUGUAAAGCUCUUUUGUCCGGGACGAUAAUGACGGUACCGGAAGAAUAAGCCCCGGCUAACUUCGUG